rnacentral:rRNA from 1 species
UACGGAGGGUGCAAGCGUUGCUCGGAAUUAUUGGGCGUAAAGGGUAGGUAGGUGGUCUCAUUUGUCAGGGGUGAAAGCCUUGGGCUUAACUCAAGAAGUGCCCCUGAAACGGUGAGACUAGAGUGCUGGAGAGGGUCGUGGAAUUCCCGGUGUAGCGGUGAAAUGCGUAGAGAUCGGGAGGAACACCAGAGGCGAAGGCGGCGACCUGGACAGUUACUGACACUCAACUACGAAAGCGUGGGGAGCAAACAGG